rnacentral:tRNA from 1 species
AAUCCCGUAGCUCAAUCGGUUGGAGCAUCGACCUGAUACGUCGGAGGUUGAGGGUUCGAAUCCCUCCGGGAUUA